GCACUGGCACGGCGGCGGAAACGCCUCGCGCGAGGGCACCGCGAAUCUUCCGCGAAUACACAGGAGAAUAAAAAGAAAAUUUAUGCACGAGGAAAGCAAGGACCGUUUUUUACUCGAUCGUGACGCGAAAUUCAACGAGCUGUGACUUUCGCAAAAACAAUAGAAAUAAAGUGAUCCCGGAAGAAUUGUGUAACUUGUUUCUAAUAUUCAAAUAUGCAUUGGGAUAUAAAGUUUAUAUGUUUUCUACGUUGCUGCUGGUGAAAAUUCGCCGGUUGCCGAACUUUUCUUACGGAGCUUGUCGAGUUCAAAAUGUUUCCUCUUUAAAAUAUAUCUAUAUUGCAUUCCUGAAUAAAUAAUUGUUCGACGUAAGAAGACCCAGUGAAAAUGUGAGGUAAAAAAUCGGGAGUUUGCCAUUUUUUUAUUUAGUCUGAUAUAUUUCAAAAUAACAGCAAAAUUAUAAACUUGAUAUAUUUCAAAAUUAGAAACACUAAAUUAGAAAACACAGCAAAAUAUUCUUCGAACGGCUUUAUUAUUAUUAUUUUCGUCGGAGAUGGAGCGCAUUGAAUUUUUAUUCGUGCAAUUUGAAAAAUAAAAAAAACAUUUGCCCAGUUGUUGUACUCUAUUACUUGAAAAGAAAAAAAUACUAAAUCUAUCCUGUCCUCGAGUCGCAUUACAUGCUUAAAGAUACUAGCGGCUCGUAGCGGAGACUUUGGUACUAACAAAAAUAACGGAUCAAAUAAUCAUAAAGGGUCAAAGUGCUAACUUUUAGCCGAGACUCGAACCUACUUAGCCGAGAUUCAAACCAGCAUAGCGAAGACGCGCUAACAAAAAUAACGGGUCGAAUAAUCGUAAAGGGUCAAAGUGCUAAUUUUAGCCGAGACUCGAAUCUACUUAGCCGAGACUCGAAUCAGUUGAGUUCGACGAGCUUUUCUACAAUCCCGCUAGAUGGCACCGCAUUAGUCGUUUGAAUUUUUCGCACACAUUGCUAAUCAGGAUAUCGAAUAGCCUGCUAACAAUCUCUUACAAAACCUAAUGAAUUGCGUGAAUGUGUAUGUGGCUAUGUAUUUUCUAAUAUAUAAUUCCAAAGUCUCCGCUACGAGCCGCCACCGUCCAUAAUGAGGAAUUGAGGUUGUAGUACGACUCCAUGAUAAGUCAGAAGCACUUUUUUUCGAAUAUCUGCGUCUUGCGGACUUGCGUAUGUAUGUUAUACCAUCUUUUAAUAUAAAUGAUACGAUCCAGUGAUAGGUUACAGAUCGCUUUUUAUUUUGAAAUUUUGUAUCAUUAUUUUAAAUAACAAUUAAUGCUUACAACAAUCAUUUACCAAAAUUUACUCGUCUCUUGCGUGCGAGAACAGAAGUUUCAAGAAUAUAUUUUUAGCAAACAUCAAGUAACGAUAAUAUUACAUCAAUGUUAUAAUCUAUCACUUUUAAAUAUUUAACCGUUACACUGUAUGUUAUAUAAUUGUACUUGCAUUUUUUAGUAUAAUGUUGAUAUAAUCCUGCCGGUGUUUACCGGGUUAUUUACACUCGCUCUCAUACACAUUUCACAACUUUUCCUUUUCUU